rnacentral:rRNA from 1 species
AAAAGGUGGCUAUGCUACCGCUUUUGGAUGGGCCCGCGGCGCAUUAGCUAGUUGGUGGGGUAAAGGCUUACCAAGGCAAUGAUGCGUAGCCGAACUGAGAGGUUGAUCGGCCACAUUGGGACUGAGACACGGCCCAAACUCCUACGGGAGGCAGCAGUAGGGAAUCUUCCACAAUGGGCGAAAGCCUGAUGGAGCAACGCCGCGUGGGUGAAGAAGGUCUUCGGAUCGUAAAACCCUGUUGUUAGAGAAGAAAGUGCGUGAGAGUAACUGUUCACGUUUCGACGGUAUCUAACCAGAAAGCCACGGCUAACUACGUGCCAGCAGCCGCGGUAAUACGUAGGUGGCAAGCGUUAUCCGGAUUUAUUGGGCGUAAAGGGAACGCAGGCGGUCUUUUAAGCCUGAUGUGAAAGCCUUCGGCUUAACCGGAGUAGUGCAUUGGAAACUGGGAGACUUGAGUGCAGAAGAGGAGAGUGGAACUCCAUGUGUAGCGGUGAAAUGCGUAGAUAUAUGGAAGAACACCAGUGGCGAAAGCGGCUCUCUGGUCUGUAACUGACGCUGAGGUUCGAAAGCGUGGGUAGCAAACAGGAUUAGAUACCCUGGUAGUCCACGCCGUAAACGAUGAAUGCUAAGUGUUGGAGGGUUUCCGCCCUUCA